rnacentral:rRNA from 1 species
AGUGAACGCUGGCGGUAGGCCUAACACAUGCAAGUCGAACGGCAGCACAGUAAGAGCUUGCUCUUACGGGUGGCGAGUGGCGGACGGGUGAGGAAUACAUCGGAAUCUACUUUUUCGUGGGGGAUAACGUAGGGAAACUUACGCUAAUACCGCAUACGACCUACGGGUGAAAGCAGGGGAUCUUCGGACCUUGCGCGAUUGAAUGAGCCGAUGUCGGAUUAGCUAGUUGGCGGGGUAAAGGCCCACCAAGGCGACGAUCCGUAGCUGGUCUGAGAGGAUGAUCAGCCACACUGGAACUGAGACACGUUCCAGACUCCUACGGGAGGCAGCAGUGGGGAAUAUUCGACAAUGGGCGCAAGCCUGAUCCAGCCAUACCGCGUGGGUGAAGAAGGCCUUCGGGUUGUAAAGCCCUUUUGUUGGGAAAGAAAAGCAGCAGGUUAAUACCCCGCUGUUCUGACGGUACCCAAAGAAUAAGCACCGGCUAACUUCGUG